GAUGAACGCUAGCGGCAGGCUUAAUACAUGCAAGUCGAGGGGCAGCAUGAUUGUAGCAAUACAAUUGAUGGCGACCGGCAAACGGGUGCGGAACACGUACACAACCUCCCAAUAAGUGGGGAAUAGCCCAGAGAAAUUUGGAUUAAUACCCCGUAACAUAACGAUGUGGCAUCACAUUGUUAUUAUAGAUUUUUCGCUUAUUGUUGGGUGUGGGGCUGAUUAGAUAGUUGGCGGGGUAACGGCCCACCAAGUCUACGAUCAGUAGCUGAUGUGAGAGCAUGAUCAGCCACACGGGCACGGAGGCCCGGGCCCGACUCCUACGGGAGGCAGCAGUAAGGGAUAGUGGUCAAUGGACGGAAGUAUGAACCAGCCAUGCCGCGUGGAGGAUGAAGGUCCUCUGGAUUGUAAACUUCUUUUAUCUGGGAAGAAAUCCAGAUUUUCUAUUGUGGUUGACGGUACCAGAUGAAUAAGCACCGGCUAACUCCGUGCCAGCCGCCGCGGUAAGAC
rnacentral:rRNA from 1 species